AUGGAUGGAUGGGGGCAACGCGGGGUUGGUGGGCUACAGACCGACCUACAGUGGAGUAGAGUAGGAAGCAGGGAGGCAGAGUGCAAGGUGAGGAGGAGGUGGGGGAGGGGAGCCGCCGGCCGGAAAACCCAAAGAAGGGAAGGGAAGGGAAGCAGCUGCUGCUGGUUUGGUUUGGUUUCCUUUGGUUUUGCAACAGGAGCGCACAGGUCUUCACAUUUUCCUCCAGCUGACCUACCAAGAAAAGAAACGAAAAAGAUAGAAAGACAUAGCCAUUUUCUUCCAUCUACACAAUACUAUACUACUCCAAUAGCUCAUCAGGUGCCCUCCAAAUUUCACAUCAUUUGA
rnacentral:rRNA from 1 species